ACACUCCUGCGGGAGGCAGCAGUGGGGAAUAUUGCACAAUGGGCGCAAGCCUGAUGCAGCCAUGCCGCGUGUAUGAAGAAGGCCUUCGGGUUGUAAAGUACUUUCAGCGGGGAGGAAGGCGAUAAGGUUAAUAACCUUGUCGAUUGACGUUACCCGCAGAAGAAGCACCGGCUAACUCCGUGCCAGCAGCCGCGGUAAUACGGAGGGUGCAAGCGUUAAUCGGAAUUACUGGGCGUAAAGCGCACGCAGGCGGUCUGUCAAGUCGGAUGUGAAAUCCCCGGGCUCAACCUGGGAACUGCAUUCGAAACUGGCAGGCUAGAGUCUUGUAGAGGGGGGUAGAAUUCCAGGUGUAGCGGUGAAAUGCGUAGAGAUCUGGAGGAAUACCGGUGGCGAAGGCGGCCCCCUGGACAAAGACUGACGCUCAGGUGCGAAAGCGUGGGGAGCAAACAGGAUUAGAAACCCUGGUAGUCCCAU
rnacentral:rRNA from 1 species